CAGGACGAACGCUGGCGGCGUGCCUAAUACAUGCAAGUCGAACGGUCUUUCUAUGGAAGCUUGCUUCCACUGAGAAGAUAGUGGCGAACGGGUGAGUAACACGUGGGUAACCUGCCCAUAAGAGGGGGGAUAACAUCCGGAAACGGGUGCUAAUACCGCAUAGUUUUCUUGAUCGCAUGAUUGAGAAAGGAAAGACGGCCUUUGUGCUGUCGCUUAUGGAUGGACCCGCGGCGUAUUAGUUAGUUGGUGAGGUAACGGCUCACCAAGACGAUGAUACGUAGCCGACCUGAGAGGGUGAUCGGCCACAUUGGGACUGAGACACGGCCCAAACUCCUACGGGAGGCAGCAGUAGGGAAUCUUCCGCAAUGGACGAAAGUCUGACGGAGCAACGCCGCGUGAGUGAAGAAAGGUUUUCGGAUCGUAAAACUCUGUUGUCAGAGAAGAACAAGUUGGAGAGUAACUGCUCCAGCCUUGACGGUAUCUGACCAGAAAGCCACGGCUAACUACGUGCCAGCCGCAGC
rnacentral:rRNA from 1 species